rnacentral:rRNA from 1 species
GACGAACGCGGCGGCGUGCCUAAUACAUGCAAGUAGAACGCUGAAGGAGGAGCUUGCUUCUCUGGAUGAGUUGCGAACGGGUGAGUAACGCGUAGGUAACCUGCCUGGUAGCGUGGGAUAACUAUUGGAAACGAUAGCUAAUACCGCAUAAUAUUGAUUAUUGCAUGAUAGUCAAUUAAAAGGUGCAAUUGCACCACUACCAGAUGGACCUGCGUUGUAUUAGCUAGUUGGUGGGGUAACGGCUCACCAAGGCGACGAUACAUAGCCGACCUGAGAGGGUGAUCGGCCUCACUGGGACUGAGACACGGCCCAGACUCCUACGGGAGGCAGCAGUAGGGAAUCUUCGGCAAUGGACGGAAGUCUGACCGAGCAACGCCGCGUGAGUGAAGAAGGUUUUCGGAUCGUAAAGCUCUGUUGUAAGAGAAGAACGAGUGUGAGAGUGGAAAGUCACACUGUGACGUAUCUACCAGAAAGACGCA